UUGUUAUACAAAUGAAUUACUGUAGCAAUUUCAUUUAAUUAUCCUAAUUGUAUUACCUCUCUAGACCUACGCUAUAUCACAAAAUAUUAAAAAUUACUGAAAGAGGUAAAAAAUUCCAUUAUUUUAAUAUGCGUACCCAAUGUAAUUUCUUAUUACGGGAUGUCUUAGUGAGUGUAUUUCUUACAUUGAUAGGUAGCACCUAGUAAAUUAAAAUGCAAGCUACCCUUGGUGGAAUGAGUCAUUAUUAGUAUUGUGUGUUUGUUAAGGUCUCCGUAGAGCUCUCCAUGAUAGUUGUGAGGUCAUCUGCAUACCAGAGUGAAGACAUCUAACAGCAAUUGAAAACAGAGAUGGGGAUAGACUAUUCCCUUGUCGAUACCCCCUUGUGCUAAGGAAACUGGACAUAUUUCUACUAUACUAGACUGUACGUGGGAUGUUCCAGCAAAUCUAUUUUUAAUAAAGCCUUUCUGUUCGUGGGAGGAACUUCUCUAGCCUCUUGAUUAAUAUUCCCGUCAAAAUUUUGUCAGAUGUAUUCGGCAGUGUGAUGAGCCUGAAGUUUUUAAUAUCAAGAGUAUAUUUUCCUCUCUUACGGGCCAAGACUAGAGUCCCUGUACUCAUGAAAUUAGGUAUCGAUUCCGAAUUACAGAUUUCCCUGUCAGCUCCCUCAAGUAUUGGGGUAAGAACUGACACAAAUGUUUUAUAGAACUCGAAAUGGAGACCCGAUAUCCAGGGCUCAUCUAUUCCAGAAAAUUCAAUCUUAUCCUUUACUCGUCCAAGUCAAGCCUCCCAGGAAUAGAGCUCCACUACCUUGAAUAGUUCUAGAGACGCCAGCUAUGACAAAAUUUACACUAGCCUGACUAGUGCAGACCUCACACCUGUACAAGUUUUCAUAGAAGUCAGAAACUGUUAUAUUAUAAUUCCCUUUAGCAUUUAUAUUAUUCUUUAUUAGCUCCAACUUUGUUGCUUUGCGUUUGUCUGCUGAGUUCCCACCUUGGUCUUCAUUUUGUUUCUCAAUUGUGCUUAUUUCUUCCCUAUAUUUUUAAAAAUAUAUCUGGUAUAUAUUCUCUUGCCAUAAUAUUUUAUAAUCCUGCGUAUUUUCGUUUUUAUUUCUUCUGAUUCCAGAUGGGUGAUGUCAAGUUUCCAGAACGUUUUGGUGUUUAGUUUUACUCUUAAGAACCUUCCUAUAAUAGGAAAGUGAUCUGGCAAAUAUGGAAGGACCGCUUUGAACUCCUUUAGCGGUUUUGAUAUAGUUGGUGAAGCGAAAAUAUAGUCAAAUCUACCUUGUUUUAGGCUUUCCGAAUUUGAGGACUUGAAGGUCAUUUGAGGGUUGGAGGUCGAGGUUUAAGCCAAGUCGUCCAGAGGAUGUUCGGAAAUUACAGUCUCAAGAUUCCUUGUGAUAUUUAGGUCACUGAGUAAGAUGAUCCCAUAUUCUAGGUGUUAGGUAUAUUUUUCGAAUAUAUUGCUAUAAAUGGAACCCCAGUCGUAGUUUGGACCAGAAGUGGCACACACUCAGGAUCUUUUAUGAUGCUGGCGUCUACGAUCACAACGUUGGAUUUAGGGUGUCUUUUCUGAGGACUAUAACUUUCCUUGAUGGAUGUGUUGUUUUGAAUUUUGCAUUUGAAAGAAAGGGUUCAUGAAAUUUUGGAAAUAUAUGUUUGAUAGUUGGUACUUCGUCAAUGCGAGUGUCAACAAGGACUUGCAAGUCUAGGAUGGACAACACGUUUAAGUAUUGGAAAACCUUCUUUUCUAGAGACGGUAUGGCAAUGGAAUU
rnacentral:lncRNA from 1 species